CAGUGCUCAGAUUGAACGCUGGCGGCAGGCUUAACACAUGCAAGUCGAGCGGAAACGAUAGUAGCUUGCUACUAGGCGUCGAGUGGCGGACGGGUGCGUAACGCGUAGGAAUCUGCCCAGUAGCGGGGGAUAGCCCGGAGAAAUCCGGAUUAAUACCGCAUAAGCCCCACGGGGGAAAGCAAGGGAUCUUCGGACCUUGCGCUAUUGGAUGAGCCUGCGUCGGAUUAGCUUGUAGGUGGGGUAAUGGCCUACCUAGGCAUCGAUCCGUAGCUGGUCUGAGAGGAUGAUCAGCCACACUGGGACUGAGACACGGCCCAGACUCCUACGGGAGGCAGCAGUGGGGAAUAUUGGACAAUGGGCGAAAGCCUGAUCCAGCCAUGCCGCGUGUGUGAAGAAGGCUCUAGGGUUGUAAAGCACUUUAAGUGGGGAGGAAAGGUUGUUAGUUAAUAGCUGGCUAUCUUGACGGUACCUUUAGAAGAAGCACCGGCUAACUCCGUGCCAGCAGCCGCGGUAAUACGGAGGGUGCAAGGGAGCAAACAGGAUUAGAUACCCUGGUAGUCCACGCCGUAAACGAUGUCUACUAGCCGUUGGAGGACUUGAUCCUUUAGUGGCGCAGCUAACGCACUAAGUAGACCGCCUGGGGAGUACGGCCGCAAGGUUAAAACUCAAAUGAAUUGACGGGAGCCCGCACAAGCGGUGGAGCAUGUGGUUUAAUUCGAUGCAACGCGAAGAACCUUACCAUGUCUUGACAUCCAGAGAACUUACUAGAGAUAGUUUGGUGCCUUCGGGAACUCUGAGACAGGUGCUGCAUGGCUGUCGUCAGCUCGUGUUGUGAAAUGUUGGGUUAAGUCCCGUAACGAGCGCAACCCUUAUCCUUAUUUGCCAGCACGUAAUGGUGGGAACUCUAAGGAGACUGCCGGUGACAAACCGGAGGAAGGUGGGGACGACGUCAAGUCAUCAUGGCCCUUACGAGUUGGGCUACACACGUGCUACAAUGGCCGGUACAGAGGGCUGCAAACCCGCGAGGGGGAGCCAAUCUCACAAAACCGGUCGUAGUCCGGAUCGGAGUCUGCAACUCGACUCCGUGAAGUUGGAAUCGCUAGUAAUCGUGAAUCAGAAUGUCACGGUGAAUACGUUCCCGGGCCUUGUACACACCGCCCGUCACACCAUGGGAGUGGAUUGCACCAGAAGUAGCUAGCUUAACCUUCGGGAGG
rnacentral:rRNA from 1 species